rnacentral:lncRNA from 1 species
AGAGCCGAGCUGGGCCGGCCGGGCAGCUAGGCGCUGAGACGCAGGCCUUUCCUGGCGCGAAGCGACUCGCCCCGGAGCUCCCCUGCACCGUCCUGGGUGUCAGGACGCGUCAACCCAGAUGACCCGACCCGGAGAUCCUGGAUCCUCUGCCCUCUUCCCCCUACCAAGUCCUUAACCGGAGAGGGAGGAGCUACCAAUGUCCUCCAGACGUUCUCCAAAGCCCGAGCUGCCGGGAGAAGCUUGCUCAAGGCGGGUGCGCCCCUCAGACGUUUGUUUGCACGCAGGGGUUUUGACGUUUCGCUAAGCAACAGCGUUUGCCAGGGAAUCAGGGCUGUUUCGAAGAGCUUGCGUCUAUUUGAUGCUCCCAUCUUGAACAAAUCGUUUCCAUUCGAUUUGUUUAACCAAGGCGAGGGCGGACUAUGUUGUUACUUAAAAGUUAUUCUUCAUCCAAGCUGUCCUCAGAUUUUCAUCUAAGGGUGUCAUAACACCCCAGGUCGUUGCGCAAAUGUUUUGUGACAAUUUAGAAAACCAGAGGGGGGAAAUAUCCUUAGAGAAAAAAUCAUAACCAACAAGAAAAUUAUGUUAAAUGAUGUUGGUCCUUUUUCAUCGGAUGGUCCCAGUUGACACAUAGUCUUUUACAAAACCAGUGACUAUUCACAGUCUUCAAUUUAUGGCACAUCUCCCGGUGGGGGCGAAGUGCAUGAAUGGGUCCCACCUUAUUCACCAGCUGAAACUCUGAACAAGCCUUGGGGUUUCCUCUCCCAAAGACUGCCAGGCUUCACUAAGAAUCAAAACAAAACAGGAUACUAAAUGCCUGCGGUUCCUUUUUCCAUAAUUUUUUUCUUUUAACCAGCCUUUCACCUCACCCAAAGGCCACAAUGAAGUCGAAGAAACCUGUAGAUGACAGCUUUCACAGUCUUUCUCUUGUCUUUUCAUGUACUGAAGUAUGUUAGAGAUCUGACUGGCAGCUUCAGGACACUCGGAAGCAAGGGGGACACUCUAUUAAGGAUCGCUGAAGUAUGCCCACAUGUCAGGUUUCUCUCAGAUGUGGUUAAGUCUGGAAGUGGAGGAAACAACUGGUGUCUAAAUAUGACUGAAACGUCCAGUGGACAAUGCAGAAAUAAGAGAGGCAUUCUUGACACAGUUUCUGUAUGCUGAAGAUGCCAAAAUAUUCAAGAGCCAUCGGAUUCCUGAAGCUGCUCUCACUGCACCAGCAAAGGCAAAAGCAGCCAUCCCUCUCAGCUCUAAUUUAUGGAUAUGGAUGUAUCCCAAACCCCAUCCCUUCUUACUACCUCCUGCACUAGCAACUAGUCCAAACCACCAUCAUUUCUUGCCCAACCUGCUGCAAUCACCUCUUAAGUAUUUUCCCUGCUUCCACUCCUUCACCGUAUAUUUCAUUCUCCACACAGCAGCCAAAGCGGUUUUUUUAAAAAAUACAAAUGAAAUGUGCUCACUCUACUAUUCAAAAUCCUUUAGUAGUUUCUUUUCACACUUGGAUAAAAUCCACACUCCCUCACCACAACCUAUAUGACUGGACUCUUGCCUAAUCUUCUCACCUCAUCCUCUAUCACUUUCUUCCCUGUUCAUUCCUCUCCAGGAACUGGCCUUCUCACUGUUCCUCAGAAAUAUGAAGCGGACUACUGCUUUAGGGUCUUGCAUUUGCUGUUUCCUCUGUUUUCAACCCCCAGACCGUCACAUGGCUUUCUCUCUUACCUCACUCAGGUCUCUGCUCAAAUGUUGCCUCAGAGAGGACUUCCCUCAUCACCACCCCUAAUAUAAAUGAAGCACCGUAGCCGUAGCCGUUCCCUAACCAAUUGCCCUACUUUAUUCACCUUCACAUCUCUUAUCAAAUAUCCUGUUUACCUGUUUACUUGAUUAUUGUUUGCUUUACCUCUAGAAUGCAUGUUCUAUGAGUGUAGGGACUUGGUCAAUCUUGUUCAACAAGGAACUUCCAGUCCAAAACUGUACCUGUCAUAGAAAAGGCACCCAAUAAAUAUGCAAAUCAAACUACGGUCACUCAGUGACAGAGAAAGAAUGAGAACAAUUUAAAUAGUGUGAGGAAGUGUGUUUACUAUUUUGCUCAGUAAAUGUAUGCACUAGAACAAGUAUGAGAUGGGAGAUGUGAAUCUACUUUAUCUCUUAGUUCCCCUGUGCUAUUCACAGUAUGAUCAAUGUGCCAUGCUGGGUGUUUAAAGAUGCUGACAGUUUGAACAGCAUGGCCCUUACAUGCAGAGAAGUUCCGUAAUGAGUUUGAGUCCUGGAUUCACCACGUUAGUGUCUGACCUUGGGGAAGUUACUUACGCUUUCAAUGCCUCAGUUUCUUCAUCCAUGAAAUGAGGCUAAUAAUAGUACUACCUCUAUAGGAUUGUUAUAAGGAUUAAAUUAAUAAUAUAAAUAUCUUAGAACAGUGCCUAGAACAUAGUAAGCCAUGUCUGAGUAUUUUUAAAGCAAACCUAUUUGGCUGUACUUGGUUCUCCCCUUUCUUGGGGACUUUAUAACUUGAGUACUUAUAAGAUACUACUCUGCCCAGCACUUUGGGAGGCCGAGGUGGGUGGAUCACGAGGUCAGGAGAUUCAGACCAUCCUGGCUAAAAUGAUGAAACCCCGUCUCUACUAAAACUACAAAAAAAUUAGCCAGGUGUGGUGGCGGGCGCCUGUAGUCCCAGCUACUCGGGAGGCUGAGGCAGGAGAAUGGCGUGAACCCAGGAGGCGGAGCUUGCAGUGAGCCAAGAUCGCGCCACUGCACUCCAGCCUGGGCGAUAGAGCGUGACUCCAUCUAAAAAAAAAAAAGAUGCUACUCUGAAGUGACUGGCAUUGGAAUUUUCAUCAUGCUUUUAGACCAGUAAUUUUAGUUUUAGCACCAAGUACAAUAAUUAUUUUAUAACCAUUGCUAGUCUAGCAUUUUUGCUUAGCCAUAAAUUCCAUUUAAGCCAAAAUAUCCCUAACUUUGCAAAAAACUGUACCUUCAGGGGACACCACCCAAUUAUAGUUGAAAAAAAGAUGUUUCUUCCUUUUUAAUUCUGUAGGCUUUUCUUGGCUGGCAUUUCCAUAACAUAAUAUUGUUAUUUGGUAGUUGAGUGUCAGUCAGCUCUACAGAAAAAUAAAUACCAGUGAUCUUGCUAAACCUGUGUACCAAAUCAUUCCUGAACUAGGGGAGUGGGCCAGAUAACCUUUGGAAGGCUUUUUAGCUCUGUUUUUCUGUGGUUUUCGUAAAAUGAAAAUAGCUCAGAAAUUAGAGGUUCUAGAUUUAGCACUAUGUGAACUGGGCCGGGAUGCUUUGUGAAUCAUGGACAAUUGAAAUAGUUUAAACUCAGCUUAUUUGGAACAGAUUAGGUCCAUAUUCGGGUUGAACAAGAAUGAAACCUGUUUGAACUGUGGACAGGCUGUCAGCACCCUUCUAGGCUCAGCUUUUCACUUCUCUUUCUAGGGCCUUGACUCGUUCAUAUAUAACUGUAUGAAUGCCUCUUUAGAAAGGACUGCAAACACCUCCAACUAGUGUUUGUGAAACCUCCUUGAGGUAUUCUACAUAUGAUUCAAUAAUAAACACCUUCUGCAGUCUUUACCUUAGUUAUGGUCCCAUAAGUCAUGCAUUUAUUCAUCCAGUAAAUAUUCCCUGAGGGCUUAAUAUGUGCUAGGAAUUGUGCUAGUACUAGCCACUUAGUUGUCCAAGUUAGAAACUAGGAGUUGGGCCAGGCACAGUAGCUCACGCCUGUAAUCCCAGCACUUUGGGAGGCCGAGGUGGGAGGAUCACCUGAGGUCAGGAGUUCGAGACCAGCCUGGCCAACAUGGUGAAACCCCGUCUCUAGUAAAAUUACAAAAAUUAGCUGGGUGUGGUGGUACAUACCUGUAAUCCUAGCUACUCGGGAGGCUGAGGCAGGAGAAUCGCUUAAACCUGGGAGGCAGAGGCUGCAGUGAGCCAAGAUCGUGCCACUGUACUCCAGCCUGGGCAACAGAGUGACUCCGUCUCAAAAAAAAGAAAAGAAAAAAGAAAAGAAAGAAAAAGAAACCUAGGCGUCGUCUUAAAUAUACCCCCCUCAUUCACUCCCCACAUUAGGUCAGCCACCAAACUGGUGCCAAUACUACCUUCCAAAUAUCUCUUGAAGUUUUGUUCUCCUCUUCACUCGCUCCUGGUGCCACUAUGUUGGUAAAAGUGGUGUAAGCCCAGCUACUGUAGAAAGCAGGGCACAAAGCAGUCUGCUAAGGAGGGGGAAGAGGAGGGGAAGAUGGGACACAGUGAGAUGCACUGUUAUACUGUUUACUGUUGUGCAGUCAUACAACAGGUCACUCAGCAGGCAUGGGACGUCCCUGGAAGGGUUAACAAGGAAGAACUCCAUCUUGGACUAUUCCACAUGAGAAAAAAGAGUGAGUGUGUCUUCCUGUCUCUCUCCUGGAUCCAUUUGCCAUUGGUGAAGGUUUACCCCAUGGAGAGAUAAACACCCCUGAAUUGGAUUGUGUCAUCUGGCCGCUUGGCGGCUCUCAGGAAGGCAGAUCCCAAGCUCAAGGUGUGGUACUUGUUCCAACUUCAAAAGUAAAGCAACAGGCACUCUGGAGAUCUCAGAAAGUACACAAGUGUUCAUGAAUCAAGUAUGUACAGUGAGAGAGAUCUGACAGCACUCCCUGCCUUCCCCCGAAGGAGGAGAAAUGUCAUGAAGCUAAGAGAGACUCAACAUGGAAAAUCCAAACCCUCCGAGGACAUUUACAUAGCAUGCAGAGGGCUGAAUGGUCCAUCUGGGUGCCUCUUCAUCCUCUGAAACCAGGCAGAUCAACUCUCGGAAUCCUGAGCCAUGUUCCCAAAUGGUUCUGUGAUUUAAAGGCAAGUAGGCGCAGCCAGAAAUAGGAAAUACCAUGUCCCAUGCACUCGUGGGAGAAACUCUUCCCUCUUACUUCAUAUCUCAACUCUGCCAGAGUCAUCAUGCUAUGAGUGUAUCUUUUUUGGUUUCUUAGACAAAGUCUCACUCUGUCACCUGGGCCAGAGUGCAAUGGUGCAAUCAUAGCUCACUGCAGCCUCGAACUCCUGGGCUCAAGUAAUCCUCACACCUCAGCCUCCUGAGUAGCUGGGAAUACAGAUGCAUGUCACUUAGCCUGGCUAAUUUUUUUUUUUAUUUUUUGUAGAGACAGGGUCUCGCUUUGUUGCCCAGGCUGAUGUCAAACUCCUGGGCUCAAGCGAUCCUCCCACCUCAGCCUCCCAAAGUGCUGGGAUUACAGACAUCAGAUACCACGUCUGGCCCUAAAGGACUAUUUAAAAACUACAGUAAAAUUUUUUUAUCCAGGUCAGUGGAUAAAUAUAGAAGCCUACAAACGGCGGGUGGGGAGGGCAGGGGGAAAGCAUAUUCAGCAACUCUGAAGCAUUCUCUGAUUUGGAUCAUCUUUAGUAACAACUGUAAUGACCUUUCUUGACACUCAAGGUGGGAAAUACAAAAUUCAGAGGGAAAAAUGUAAAAGCAAUCCUAUAAAUCAUUUAGUGUGAAUUUGGUUUAAAUUUAUUCAACGUCAGAGAAGUUUCAUUAUUAAUAUAGUCAAAAGAGUAUGUCCUAGCUUCAGAUCUUUUCUGUUUAUAAAGAAUAUUCCUCAUAUUCCUAUUUGUAAGAAAAAUGUAAUCUCAAAUUGUAUGCAUAAUCUUUCCAGAUUCAACCA